rnacentral:rRNA from 1 species
GUUUGAUCCUGGCUCAGAGCGAACGUUAGCGGCAGGCUUAACACAUGCAAGUCGAGCGAGAAAGGGGCUUCGGCUCCGAGUAAAGCGGCGGACGGGUGCGUAACACGUGGAUAAUCUGCCUCGUGGCGGGGGACAACAGUCCGAAAGGACUGCUAAUACCGCAUGUCAGGUCGGAAACUCCGGUUUCUGACGAAAAAGAGGGCGUCCGCAAGGAGCUCUCACCACGAGAUGAGUCCGCGUCCCAUCAGCUAGUUGGCGGUGUAAUGGACCACCAAGGCUUAGACGGGUAGCUGGUCUGAGAGGAUGACCAGCCACACUGGGACUGAGACACGGCCCAGACUCCUACGGGAGGCAGCAGUGGGGAAUAUUGGACAAUGGGCGAAAGCCUGAUCCAGCCAUGCCGCGUGAGUGAUGAAGGCCU